rnacentral:misc_RNA from 1 species
AUAGGGAAACUGGAGCGUUAGUGGCAAACGGGUGAGUAACACGUGGGUGACCUACCUCAAAGUGGGGAACAACAGACCGAAAGGUUUGCUAAUACCGCAUUAGUUCGGCGAUUCAAUUUGCCGAAUAAAGCCCCCUUCGGGAGGCGCUUUGAGAGGGGCCCGCGUCCCAUCAGGUAGUUGUUUUUCUGUAGCCCACGCGGCAAAUGACGGGUAGCUGGUCUGAGAGGACGAUCAGCCAUUACUCCUUCAGAACUGACCAUACUCNNUNCAUCGAUCCAGANAGAAUUC